AUCGGGUCGGGUCAAAACGGCGCGGAUUGGAGAAGAAGGUGGGGUCUUGGCCCAUGGUAUAGAUGGACACCUGCACCAGUGUCUGUGGACAAGCCCCAGAGGGCCCCAAAAGACCCAGGAAGCCCAUGGGGUCUCCCUCCUUUCACUGGGCUCCAGCCACAUUCCAGAGACCAUCACCUACUGUGCCCACCACCCCUGUCCUUCAUUCACACUUGGACCGCUGCUGCCGAAGACCCAACCAGUCAGCUCCAGGGAGAAAGGCAGGACAGAAAGGGCUGGUGUCCUUAUCUGAAGAGGAGCUUAGGACACAGACACACACAGAGGGAAGACCAUGUGAAGACAGAGGGAGAAGACGGCAGUCCACGAGCCAAGGAGAGGGGCCUCAGAAGAAACCAACCUUACUGACACUUUGAUCUCGGACUUCUAGCUCCAGAACUGUGAGAAAAUAAAUUUCUGUUGUUUAAGGCCCCCAGUGUAUGGUGCUUCAUUACGCAGCCCCAGCAAAGUCACACAGUCUUUCUGUCUGAGCCAUUUGGGGCAUUGAGGUCUGUUGUACUC